rnacentral:rRNA from 1 species
UACGUAGGGGGCUAGCGUUGUCCGGAAUCAUUGGGCGUAAAGAGCGCGUAGGCGGCCAGAUAAGUCCGGUGUGAAAGUCACAGGCUCAACCUGUGAAUGCCGCUGGAAACUGUCUGGCUAGAGUCCGGGAGGGGCGAGUGGAAUUCCCGGUGUAGCAGUGAAAUGCGUAGAUAUCGGGAGGAACAUCUGUGGCGAAGGCGACACCCUGGACCAGCACUGACACUGAGGCACGAAAGCGUGGGGAGCAAACAGG